rnacentral:lncRNA from 1 species
CGUUGAAUCAACUUGUUUUCUCUUUUGAGCCCAACACAAAACUUGUACCUUUGCUUGCUAAGAUUGAUGUUUCAUCGAUUGUAGCUUGAAUAAGCAAUCACAUCGCUUCAUUAACUCUCUUCGCUUGUGACCUCAUCAUGGGCGUCUCGUCAACAAUCAACGGAUCCUUGCCUGGACUUACCUUCAUUCCUUGGAUCACAUCAUCACGUGAGACUGAAAAUCAAGCAAAUUAAAUUUCAUUAUCAAUCAGAGCAUUAACCAUUACAUAUAACAUGAUGAGAUAAGCAUAAACUUCAACAUAAGUAUAAACUUCAACACCCACGAACAAUGGAUAUAGACAAAAGACCUUGUUAAUACCAGGUUUGGAAAAGCAAUACCUAAAUCAAUUAUAAGAUUUACCAGUGCGCACCGGAUUCCCUCAUCAUAAAUAAAAAAAAAAAAAAAAAAAGAGCAAAAGUUUUACUAAAUUUUGCAUUUGUAAAGGUUUCUGAAUUGAUUCAUUUCCUUUGGACACUGGAAACUAGCCUGACCAAAUUGAUAUUUGGGUCAGUUUUGGUGUAAUUAUUAUUGAACCAACAUACAUGGUUUCACUUUUUAUUCAAAUAUAGAACAGAACCUCUAUAACCUCUAAUGACGAAAAUGUACCUCCACAUCCCAUAGUAACCAAGUAAGAUACAAGUAUCAUUUUAAAUAUUACGUAUGUAGCCUACUAAAGCCUAGCAAAUAUCAUUCAGACAUCAAUAGUUCAACUAAAAAUGAAAAAGGAUUGCUGAAUCAUAACAAAGACAAGUCUAUUUAUAUUUCAAGGCUUUAUUUGGAGACAUGGAAUCAACCAGGACCAAUUAGCUAUUGGCACAAAAUUUGGUCAUCGAGAUACAUACGCUUCUUAUAUUACUAGCUUCCAGGCCUUAAAUUCCAGACUAAAUUCGCUAAGGAGAAACUCUCAAGAUACAGGAAAUUUGACGUAAGACGACCCAAAUACUGUUUAUGAUUGGUUUAAGCAUAAAAGAGUGAUUACAUUAGACACCCAAAUAAAAAAGGUAAUUUUCUUUAUUUGAAAUCUAUUACAAUCUGAACCAUCAUUUGCUGAAGCAUUACAUUAAACACCUGAACUAGAUUCUCCAACCUCAAUUAUUAAACAUAAGUGAACCAGGUUCUUCUAAAAGAAAUAAAAUUUCAAUCAAAUCCAAAAAAAAUUUUCAUAGCAUUAAUUAAAUGAUAAUAAAAUUAAAUUCCAUUACAAUGAUUAGUAGUCAAAAACUGUCUGGAGGUGUGGAAAAUAUGGAUGACCAGCUUCAAAAUGAAUUUGGGGAAGAUGAUGGGUUUAAGAUUGUGGAUCCGGCCCGAGAUGAGUGCCAAACGAAUCCGACCCUCUCUCUAUUAUCCUCUUCCUCCUUACUUCUCUCUCUUUUUGUCUGUUACUUCAAACUAGGGAAAAUCACCGAAUAUAGUCAAAAUAAAUUUCAAAACAACAAGAACACUAGAUUGAGAAAUAGUCACAACAGAAAUAACAACAAAGUUUUCUUCAUUUCAGCGAUGAGACCUACAAAGACACAACGAAAAUAAAUGAAACUUGGUCACAAAUCGGUGUGAAUCGGAAGAACUAGCGGUGCACUACCACCUCUUCGAGUGGCGCAUACGAGGACGGGAGAUUUGCAAGAGAUGAGUGAUGGAAGAGGGAUGGUGAAACUCUACUCCUUUAAGAAGUUAGACCAUCUUCAGCUCUGCACCAAAAUUUGCACAAUUUUUCAACAAAUUUUGCACCAAAUCUUGUACCAAAUCAAAAU